rnacentral:SRP_RNA from 1 species
GCCAGGCGUGUUGGCACGCGCCUGUAAUCCCAGCUACUUGGGAGGCUGAGGCAGGAGAAUUGCUGGAACCCGGGAGUCAGAGGUUGCAGUGAGCCAAGAUCGCCACUGCACUCCAGCCUGGGCAACAGAGCGAGACUCUGUCUCAA